rnacentral:misc_RNA from 1 species
AAGAGCGAAGGGAGUCGAGGGUAGAAAUACCCUCUUCGCCCGACCUCCAACCCUUUGUUGUACUUACCACGUUGCCUCGGGGUGGUGUUCCGCUGCUUAACCGCGACAGGACCAGCCCUGGUGGAAUCUCAUACACUGUUUUACCUUGAAGUCUGAGUAAAACAUAAAUCAUACA